CAGUAGCCGCGGUAAUACGUAGGGUGCGAGCGUUAAUCGGAUUUACUGGGCGUAAAGCGUGCGCAGGCGGCCCGUUAAGGCAGGUGUGAAAUCCCUGGGCUCAACCUAGGAAUUGCGCUUGUGACUGGCGGGCUCGAGUACGGUAGAGGGGGGUGGAAUUCCUGGUGUAGCAGUGAAAUGCGUAGAGAUCAGGAGGAACACCGAUGGCGAAGGCAGCCCCCUGGGCCUGUACUGACGCUCAUGCACGAAAGCGUGGGGAGCAAACAGGAUUAGAUACCCGAGUAGUCCCUGUCUCUUAUAC
rnacentral:rRNA from 1 species